AUUGAACGCUGGCGGCAGGCUUAACACAUGCAAGUCGAGCGGAGAUGAGGUGCUUGCACCUUAUCUUAGCGGCGGACGGGUGAGUAAUGCUUAGGAAUCUGCCUAUUAGUGGGGGACAACAUUCCGAAAGGAAUGCUAAUACCGCAUACGUCCUACGGGAGAAAGCAGGGGAUCUUCGGACCUUGCGCUAAUAGAUGAGCCUAAGUCGGAUUAGCUAGUUGGUGGGGUAAAGGCCUACCAAGGCGACGAUCUGUAGCGGGUCUGAGAGGAUGAUCCGCCCCACUGGGACUGAGACACGGCCCAGACUCCUACGGGAGGCAGCAGUGGGGAAUAUUGGACAAUGGGGGGAACCCUGAUCCAGCCAUGCCGCGUGUGUGAAGAAGGCCUUAUGGUUGUAAAGCACUUUAAGCGAGGAGGAGGCUACUGAGACUAAUACCCUUGGAUAGUGGACGUUACUCGCAGAAUAAGCACCGGCUAACUCUGUGCCAGCAGCCGCCGUAACAC
rnacentral:rRNA from 1 species